rnacentral:piRNA from 1 species
CCCUGAGUUAAGGCACUGACUACUUGUGGG